rnacentral:rRNA from 1 species
GACGAACGCUGGCGGCGUGCUUAACACAUGCAAGUCGAACGGAAAGGCCCUGCUUUUGUGGGGUGCUCGAGUGGCGAACGGGUGAGUAACACGUGAGUAACGUGCCCUUGACUUUGGGAUAACUUCAGGAAACUGGGGCUAAUACCGGAUAGGAGCUCUUGCUGCAUGGUGGGGGUUGGAAAGUUUCGGCGGUUGGGGAUGGACUAGCCGCUUAUCAGCUUGUUGGUGGGGUAGUGGCUUACCAUGGCUUGGACCGGUAGCCGGCCUGAGAGGAUGACCGGCCAAAUUGGGACUGAGAUGAGGCCCAGACUCCUACGGGAGGCAGCAGUGGGGAAUAGUGCACAAUGGGCGGAAGCCUGAUGCAGCAACGCCGCGUGCGGGAUGACGUGCAUCGGGUUGUAAACCACUUUCGCCUGUGACGAAGCGUGAGUGACGGUAAUGGGUAAAGAAGCACCGGCUAACUACGUG